ensembl:snoRNA U3 Small nucleolar RNA U3
AAGGCUACACAUUCAGGGGUCAUUUCUAUAGCUCAGUAUUAGAGAAAUCUCUCGGAUUGUGUAAAGUGCCAGAAACUAAGAGGAAGAAGCAUAGUGUACCUUCCUGGGCCGGAAACUGGCUCUUGGUGUUGCUUUGCUGCACCUGCUACUGACCAUUGAUGAUUAUUCUUACUUUUUCCUUGGAGGGAGUAAGUGAGAAUGAAGAUAGUCAGUCAGAAGU